UCCAUAGAAUAUACGGAUGCGACAAUCACUGAAUUUGAAAGAAUCAACAAAUGCUCGUGCUUUGGGGUGGUAUCUUACCGCGGGCAAAUCCCACUAGGAUGGGUGACCUGCUAGGAAGUUUCCACCAGGGGCGACCAAAAACAAAUCCGUGAGUUCCUGGAUGGGCAACCCAUGGGGGGCAAAGCAGACAAUAUUGGUGGUGCGAAGGCCGGAUGUUACAUUCACCGACAAAGUUGUGUAUAUGAAUAAUUAUGGAAAGCGGUUAUCAUGAAAAUGAAUACAAAUACCACAUGAAGUUCGGUAUG
rnacentral:lncRNA from 1 species